ACAUUAAUACAAAUGUAGAAUGUGGUUAGAAAUUUUAAAACAACACUAAAGAUUAUAGGCUUCAGUAUAUAAAACAUUUGCCAAAAACUCAAUAUUUUCGUAGGGGUUAACACAUAGAUUUUGAAAAAAAUUCAAAAAAUAUGACAAUAACGUUUUAAUGCAUAGUUGCAUCCAGAACUAAUAUAUGAUGAUGUUCAAAGAGGUUUGGAGCCUUUUUUGUCUUCGUUUUUCAAGAAGAUAGUGAUUAUAUAGUGGUUAUUUCCAUCGAUUUAAAGAGUAUUAUGAAGUUUUACAAAAUUAAUUGAUUAAAAAUUAUAAUGAUUCUCAUAUACCAUAAAAAGAGUUUAAAAUACAUUAAUACAAAUGUAGAAUGUUGUUAGAAAUUUUAAAACAACACUAAAGAUUAUAGGCUUCAGUACAUAAAACAUUUGCCAAAAAGUCAAUAUUUUCGGAGGGGUUAACACAUAGAUUUUGAAAAAAAUUCAAAAAAUAUGAAAAUUUUGUUUUAAUGCAUAGUUGCAUCCAUAACUAACAUAUGAUGAUGUUCAAAGAGGUUUGGAGCCAUUGUUGUCUCCGUUUUUCAAGAAAAUAAUGAUUAUAUAGUGGUUAUUCCAUCGAUUUAAAGAGUAUUAUGAAUUUUUAUUAAAUUAAUUUAUAAAAACAAUUAAACGAUGCUCAUUUACCAUGAAAUAGAGUUUAGCAUACAUUAAUACAAAUGUAGAAUAUGGUUAAAAAAUUUAAUACAACACUAAAGAUUAUAGGCUAAGUACAUAAAAUAUUUACCAAAAACUCAAUAUUUUCGUAGGUGUUAACACAUAGAUUUUGAGAAAAUUUCAAAAAAUAUGACAAUAUUGUUUAAAUGCAUAGUUGCACCCUAGACAAAAAUAUGAUGAUGUUCAAAGAGGUUUGGAGCCUUUGUUGUCUCUGUUUUUCAAGAAAAUAGUGAUUAUGUAGUGGUUAUUCCAUCGAUUUAAAGAGUAUUAUGAAGUUUUACAAAAUUAAUUGAUAAAAAAAUUAUAACGAUUCCCAUUUACCAUAAAAAACAACUUAAAAUACAUUAAUACAUAUGUAGAAUGUGGUUAGAAAUUUUAAAACAACACUAAAAAUUAUAGGCUUCAGUACAUAAAUCAUUUACCAAAAACGCUAUAUUUUCGUAGGGGUUAACACAUAGAUUUUGAACAAAAAUUCAAAAAUUAUGACAAUAUUGUUUUAAUGAAUAGUUGCAUCCAGAACUAACAUAGGAUGAUGUUCAAUGAGGUUUGGAGCCUUUGUUGUCUCUGUUUUUCAA